UAAGAGCAAACAACCUUCCGGAACUUAAUAGAAUGUACAGGCUCCACUAUGAGGUAGCCCAGGGUAACAAGUAUGCCAUAACUACUCUCCAUAGUAAAUUUUAGGUUCAAUACGAUAUACUUCAGAAUUCAAGGAAAAACAUAUUAUGAAGAGCUAUCCAUCCACCCAAAAUGACUCACACAAGAACUAACCAUGCAGAGGAGACAUGACAGCAAAUCAGAACUUGCAGGCCAACUUACAGCUGGUCUGCCACAUUCUGAGCUCGAGUGGCUGAGGAAAGUAUCCUAGAUACACUCCUACUCCCGGUGGAGCUGUGUAUAGCGAAGGGAGGGAUCCUUCAUUUUCCCCUCUCUUCAACCUCUGAAGUCUGGUAUACGCUGUGUUAUUUUGGUUUUAAUCAUGGUUUGGGAGAUUUGGUUAAGUAAAAGUAUCCAGAAUAUUUAGGGAAGGAAGGUGAAAGGAACUAGGGAAUAGUACUGCUUGAUUAACAGCAUUCCCAACCAAAUAAUCAAAUCCUCCAUUCAAAACCAACAUGGACAGGAAGAAGUAUUUAUUACGAAUCAGUCACUACAACUCAACCAACCAAGCAAGUCUGUUUGCCAUGACUUGGGGGAAAAAAAGCAGCGCCUCAGAGCACUGGAAUGAAACUGUGCCUGCGUGGAAAGCGGUUUUCCUGGGGCUUAUCAUAUGGAAAAGUACUGGACAAGCACAGACACUGAGACAACGCGCCUCCACUGCUUUAAAUUCAGCGCACGCGUUCUAGACCGCACCAACAUGAGACUAAUAACCGAUUAAGUGAGGAAAUAAACACAAUUUAUUUCAAGUGAGGAAA